rnacentral:rRNA from 1 species
UACGUAGGGUGCAAGCGUUGUCCGGAAUUAUUGGGCGUAAAGAGCUCGUAGGCGGUUUGUCGCGUCUGCUAUGAAAGCCCGAGGCUCAACCUCGGGCCUGCAGUGGGUACGGGCAGACUAGAGUGCGGUAGGGGAGAUUGGAAUUCCUGGUGUAGCGGUGGAAUGCGCAGAUAUCAGGAGGAACACCGAUGGCGAAGGCAGAUCUCUGGGCCGUAACUGACGCUGAGGAGCGAAAGCAUGGGUAGCGAACAGG